CCGAGUUAUUACUCUAAACCUUGUUUACCAUCUGUUGCUUCGGGAGCGCCCCUCGGGAGGGGAUUUGCUUCGGCCGCUCCCAAAAGCCAAAAGCUAUUAAACUUGUUUUAUCUGAAUCUUGAAAAAAAUC
rnacentral:misc_RNA from 1 species